CUCAUCCGUCUCACGCCCACGCAGGUCAAGAUCUGGUUCCAAAACCAUCGCUACAAGAUGAAACGUGCCCGGGCUGAGAAAGGUAUGGAGGUGACGCCUCUACCCUCGCCGCGCCGUGUGGCAGUGCCGGUCUUGGUCAGGGACGGCAAACCGUGCCACGCGCUCAAAGCCCAGGACCUGGCAGCUGCCACCUUCCAGGCAGGCAUCCCCUUUUCCGCCUACAGCGCGCAGUCGCUGCAGCACAUGCAAUACAACGCCCAGUACAGCUCGGCCAGCACCCCCCAGUACCCGACAGCACACCCCCUGGUCCAGGCCCAGCAGUGGACUUGGUGAGCGCCGCCCCUCCAAGACUGGAGGCCUUAGGCCCUGGCCCCACCCCAGCGGCGGCGGUGGCGAGGAGGACUCGAUCCUUACCACGGUUGUUAUUAUUAUUAUUAUAAUUAUUAUAGAGUCGGACUCUCGGCUCGGUUGAGGAGGCACCGGGAGGUUGCCUGUGCCUCCUCGAGUGGCAGAUUCCAUCGACUCUGCCCCACCGCUCUCUCCUUUGAACUUUUGGAGAGGGUAGAACUCUAAGCCGUGUUUACAGAAUGUUUGUGCAGCUUCGCUUCUUUGCCUCUCCCUGAGGGGACCAAACCAUCCCAACGUUAACGUUGUCACUUGAAAAGAGAAAGGACCAGCCAGCCCCCACCCUCACCCACCCCGCACUGCUUUCGUGAAUUUUGUAAACUAUGUUUGUGUGAGUAGCGAUAUUGUCAGCCUUCUAAAGCAAGUGGAGAACACUUUAAAAUAUAGAGGAUUUCUUUUUUUAUAAGAAAAUGCUAAAUAUUUAUGGCCAUGUACACGUUCUGACAACUGGUGGCAAAUCUCGCUCUUCGUUGUAAAUAUCGCUAGUGAUCAUCGUUGCCAAAUGACGUUCUGGAUGGGCCUGUGUCGCCGUCCGGCCUG
rnacentral:lncRNA from 1 species